UCUCUGGUGUAGUUGGUAGCGCUUUGAAUUAGUAAUCAUAAGUCCUAGGUUCAAGUCCCAGACGUGGUGAAAAA